rnacentral:tRNA from 1 species
GGGGGUGUAGCUCAGUGGUACAGCGUUCGCUUUGCAUGUGAAAGGCCCCGGGUUCAAUC